rnacentral:lncRNA from 1 species
AGGGCCCAUGGGGUGAUGGGGACACUCAGAGUUGCAAGAAAGUUGGUCUUCCCGGUGGAUGAGGAUUUCACCAUAGAGCUGCAUCUAGAAACAAGCAUUAGAAUUGGCCUCAGCUUCCUCUCUGGAACAGGACCUGCCCUCUGGACUUGGAGGUCCAAAUUGUCCAGGCACCUUGGGCUAAGUGAGCGGCCACUUGAUCCAGUCAUGCAACAAAACCUAGAGUCGGUAAGUAGAUGAGAAAGGAGCUGAAUCUCCAAGAAAAACACUAACCUAGGAAACAUGAGCCCUGCAGAUCUCAGGGCCACAUAUCGAGCGGGAGGGUGAUGUGGUCAUCUCUUGUUUAUGUCCGACGGUAAAGAAGACCAGCACCCAAAGCAGAGAGGUGCUUCUUCCCCUGGGACCACAGCUGGUGCAUGUCCUAGGUAGCAUGAUGAUUCAGCCAGGUUCUGCCAGAGGACACCACCUGUGCCAAGACAGAACAUGUGUUCCAAAUGCCGGACGGUGUCCCUGGGUUUUCCUGGGAUAUUAAUUGACUGCUUAUUUGAUCUCGUGAAAAAGCAAAAGAAAAGACAAAAGGUAGAAAAGAUCCCCUUUGCUACUUGUUAGGAAUUCAAUUUAAAUUACUAAGAAAACUGUAUUGGAAUGCGUGUGUGUGGUUUUGUUUUUGUUUUUUGUUUGUUUGUUUUGCUCUUUUUACUUUUUUUGUGGUGCUGGGGACUGAACCCAGGGCCUUGUGCAUGCGAGGCAAGCACUCUACCAACUGAGCUAUGUCCCCAGUGCACAAUGCACUCAGGGAAAUCUUACAAUGAAAAAAAUCAUUGCUUUUUUUUUUUUUUAAUCAUUCUUUCCCAAAACAUCUUUGCCCACAAAAUGCUUAUUUCCUGAAAUCCUAUUAGCCUCUGGCUCCCAUUCCAAUUAGCCAGAAAGUUCCACCUCCCCUUCACCUUCUCUGGGGAAGGCUGCUGGCACCUUCUAGAGGAAUUUCAGCAAGGAGGGUUAUUAAUGAGGACCCGCUGGGCACUUUCUUCAGCAGGAGAUGAUGGCCGAGUUUCUCUGCUCUGUGAAGAGAUUUACGAUUCUCGCGCCGACGUCCCUAGUGAAUCUAUGGGGCAUCUUCAGGCCCCCCCAUGUCCCACGCCCUUGCUGCAGAUGCCUUAGAAUCGAUAUCUAAACAACUACAAAGGUGCAGGCUGACCCUGAGCGUCCUUCCCCCCCCCCCCACAGUCCACUCGAGAUGUUAUCUGCAAGGAGUAAACAGGCCCGUCCCCAAAGCUGUGGCCACCCUGGUGUGACAUCAAACAGCUGCUCCGCCACCCUUGAAGCCGGCUCCCAUCUUUCUCUGGUUGAACUUGGAGCUUCCUGAGGGUGGGGGGGGGGCUUCUCUUUGAAGUCCAAGAGGGCCCUGCAAAUGGGUUGUGUGGGAAGGGAAACCGAGGGUCCUCUCUCAGGGAGCCACCUUCUCCAUGAGAACAGAAUUUUUGAGGAGCAAGAGAAAGAAUUCAGCAUCUCAGAUCAUAAAAGCUGUACCCAUGGUAACCCACAUGACAUUUAUAAAGCAUUUACUCGUGUCCAACGCAGGAACAAGGACUGUCUUGUUUAAGGGCUCUUGACGAGGUAAAAACUGCGACUUUACAGAUGAGGAAACCAAGACUCAGAGAGGCUAAGUGGACUGACCAAUGUCACAGAGCAUGUAAGCAGUGGGUUCAGUCUUUUGUUCAGUUCAGGAUUGAUUUUUUUUUAGUUUCCCAGCUGAGGGGACAGUAGAAACAGGCAUCAGCUCUUCAGAGAGUAGCAGAGAGCUAGAAUUGGGAUUGCUAAGGUCAGUGACUUCUAGAAAGUUCUGUCUUCUGUAAUUACAUGGACUUUCUUCCCCUACCUCAGGAUUGGUCCCCAUUUUGUGAACUGACCUGCUCAUCAUCACCGCAGGGUGUGAAGUUUUGCUUGCCUGCAUUCACCGGGAGCUCCUUGAAGCAGACCCUGAUGGCAGUGACCACAGUGACCACCACUUCCAGAGAGCUUGUCAUGGGCCACACCCAGGACUGGCAUCCAGCCGGUCAGUUAGGAGGCUGCCCAUUCCGACUGAGCAUCCAGUUCAAUAAUUUCAGCGUGACUCGGCCAAGUGCUACGGAAAGUACCUCUGCCUGUCUCUGAAUCCUUAUGGCCACCCUUCGAGGUGGCUGUGAUUGUCACUGUCAUCUCACAGGCAAGGAAACUGAGGCUCAGAGAGACCAGAUCAUUCUUGCCUAAAAUCAACCACUCUGUCUCUGGUGGAUGGGUUCCAGCAGAUCCAUUGCUUUCCUUGGUCAUUCAAGAAAUAUAAACGGAGCACAGUAUUUGCUCCUCGUGGCUUUUUAACAAACUAACUCAAAACCUAGUGGCUUAAAACCCAAACAAACAUUUAUUUUAAAUUAAAAAAAAAAUGAACUCAUUUUGGAGGAUCAGUAAUGGGGCGAGGGGCCUGGGUGAGGGGUUAGGCUUCAAGAUUACCCACGAGGCUGCAGUCCAGAUGCUGCCCGGGGCUGUGGUCUCAUCUGAAGGCUUCACAAGCGCUGGAGGAUCUACUUCUAAGGCAGCUUACAUGGCUGUGGGCAGGAGGGGUCACUCCCCUGCCUGGACCUCUCCACAGGGCUGCUAUGGGCAAACAAGCUGUCCUACCACCAUGGCAGCCAGGAAACAAAGGAGCGGUGGCAGGGACAUCGCAGGUCCGAGGCAGGUUAACAAUAAUCUGGAUCCCCACCAAGCUGAAUCCUGGUCUGUGUGCAGUGAAUCCCGGUCCCUGCCCUUGAUCCCCAGAAGGUCUCUGCUAAGAGCUAGUCCCUGAUGUCUUCUGUUCAAAUUCCAAAAUGAAAACCCCCCAAACCUACUCAGUGGCUGAACAUUCAGUAAGACCAGCGGUGGGGUGAACGCCCUCCCCACCCAAGAGACGGUGAAAUCCUGACCCCAGCCCCUGUGCCCAUGACCUUAUUUGGGGAAAGGGUCUAUGCAGCUUUGAGGGGUCCCAGUAAGACAGACAAAAUGGGGACACAGAGAGACACAGGGAGGGCGUCCCCUGAAGACCAAGGUAGAGACUGGAAGGAUGCUUCCAGAAGCCAAGGACUGCCAAAGCCUGCCGGCCGCCACGGGAGGCAAGAGCCAAGGGAGGACUCUGCAGCGGCCCAGAGGGAGGCUGGCUCUGCUGACUCGAUCCUCCUUUUGAGAGAGAAAAUGUCAGCUGUCCUAAGCCACCCAGCUGGUGGCACGUGACUGCAGCAGCCCUCGCAAACUAACGUAAAGCACACGUUGGAAACUUUUUAUUCCAACAUUUCCAUUUUAACCAAAAGAGCACAGACGAGGAGGCCCAGGGAGGAGGCCACCCAUCGCCCACGGUCACCAGGCACAGGUCUCUUCCAGCCUGGCCUCAUAGCCCCUCCAGGGCUUGGAGGACACUUUUUGGUUUCUUGGCAUCCCGGGACCUGGUCACCCUCAUUGUUAUCAUCCUUUUUUUAUUUCUGCAAGAAGCAGGGAGGCUCGGUUUUUAUUUUAUUUUACUUUUUGCAACGUCUCCAGGAAGUCUGUUUGUUCUGGCUUUGCAUGAAAAUGGCCAGGCUGUUGGCUCAGCCGGGGAACAGGCUGACUGGGGUGUGAUGUGAGCUGUACAGUGACGAAUGACUCCGGGAACAGCCCUGGGCAGGCUCUCGCAGAGAGAACCAGAAAACCACAGCGCGUCAGGGCAUCUUCAAGCGCCCUGUGGUUUCAAUGCUGCCAUCCGCCCUCCCCGCCAGGGCGCGAGUGAGUCCAGGGGGUUCUGCAUCUCUGCGCCAUGCCUUGAAGGGGUGAGGAGAGGCAGGGAAAGGAGGCCGGUGUCUGCCUGAAGCCUCCAAGAACCCACAACAGGACUCCAAAUGAUAGCCUUUUAUACCAGCUCUGAUUCAAAGGUGCAUGAUUUUUUUGGGGGGUGGGGGAUGCUGGGGAUUGAAUUCGGGGGCACUUGACCCAUCCCCAGCCCUAUUUUGUAUCUUAUUUAGAGACAGGGUCUCACUGAGUUGCUUAGGGCCUCACUGUGGCUGAGGCUGGCUUUGAACCCUCAAUCCUCCUGCCUCAGCCUCCUGAGUCACUGGGAUGACAGGUGUGCGCCACCGUGCCCAACCAAAGGUGCAUAAUUUUUGACAUGCACAAAUAACAUGAAGGAUGACCCCUGGUCUCAACAGAGAUGGUAGAAAUAAAGAUCUGAGUCAGGUGGUAUCUAAGGGAGAGAGUUGCGUGGGACAAGACCACGAGUCUGCCCCACGGAGACAGCCUCUUAACUUGUGCCGAGCACGGCUGCCCAGGGUCAGCCUGCACAGACGGCCUCCACAGGAGGCCACGUGGAGGACAUUAAGUAAUCAAGCUACUGUGCUUGUAGCUUGAGACCAGGGGUGCUGGUCUGAUUCAGGAUGACUUUGGGGACACCUCAGCAGGCAAAAGGAAUGCCCAUGCUAGGCUGACCCUGACCUUGAAGUCAGUGUCUGGCCAGAUGCCAUCAUGGCUGGGUAGCUCCCUGGAUGGGAGAACAAAGUCAAUUCACUCCUCCGAAAUUCGGGCACUUAAUAUGUAAAAUGGGAUGUUGAUGUGGCCAUGGUUUGAAUGUGUCACCCCAAAAAGUUUUGGAAACUUUAACCCCCGAAUUCAUAGAGUAAUGGUAUUUGGAGGUGGGGAGUUUGGGGAAAAAAUGAGAUUAGAUAAAAUCAUAAAGGUGGGGCCCCUGCCAGGGCACUGGUGGCUCAAUAAGUACAGGAAGAGAAACCUGAGCUUGUACACUCGUCCUUCUCCCCAUGGGAUGCCCUCUGCCAUGUUGUGAUGCACAAGAAGGUCCUCCCUGAAGGCCAGUGCCUUGCUCUUGGACUUCCCAUCCUGCAGAACCAUGAGCUAAAUCCUCUUCCACUCUUUAAAGUACCCGGGCUCAGCUAUUUUAUUACAGCAACAGAAAAUGGACUUGGACAAAGACUUUCCAUGAAGAGUUUUUAUGUGUCACCAGAAGCUUUCAGGUGGACCCUGAGGUCAGAACAGUGGCUGUACAGCUUGUCCAUUACCAAAAGCCCAGCUUUAUUACCCUUAGUAAGCCAACUCCAGGGUGCACGCUUCCUAAGACCCCUGCAGGGACUGCCCCUCAGCUGUCCACAGUGAGAUGCUGGUGACAUGGGGCAACAGCUGUGCUUUGACCUCCCAUUCCAACCUUACUUUCCCACUUGCUUUGUGUCUUGGAAUCUCCUCCCGCAUUAGCCACACAGACUCAAAUCCCGUCUCGGGGUCUCUCCUGGGGGGCUCCAAUCUCGGCUCUACCUCAUGGAGUUACUGCCAGGGUUAAAUGAACGAAUAGCAAAUCUUUGGUUGAAUCUGCCAAAGCUCUUCAGGUCAUGCCCACGUCAUGUCACAGGUGUGGAAACUGAGGCUCAGAGACCUUACGGAUCCCUCCCAAGAUUGCACACGGUCAUGGCGAGGUUCAGAUGCAAACCCAGACUGCCCCUUCCCCCCUGUAACCUCUUCAAAGAGGGACACGCAAGCAGAACUGUGGCUGCUGAGACAGAAGGCAUUACCACCUACCCAAGCCACCCUUCCCCUGGUCCGUGAGGAUCCAGGAGCUUGAACAAAGGCCGCCUGAGCCCCCAGCUCUGCAGAUGCAGGACAUGUCAACAAAGCCGAGUCUCCCAGUCCUGCCUGCUGACCCUUCCCCCUCGGCUAUCCAUCAUCUUGAAACAGGGGUUUUAUGCACCCUGUACGCCAGUCACCUCUUCAAUUACCUCCGGGAGGAGAGAGAAGCCCAGUGGCAUCUGAUGUCCCAUUUGAUUUAGGGCAAGUCACACUUAAGAGGGCAUCUGAGGUUAGAGAACACAGAAUUCUGGGCCUGUUUAUAAACCAACAGGGUUGAGGUUUUCAUUAUUCACCUUCUAGAGCAUAGAGCGAUAUGACUCACUGGAUCAUAAAAGAGAUCAAAUAGCUCUGUUGCUAAUGAUUCUUUCCCUGACCCAUUCGCUGGCACGUUGGGUUUGUAAACAGAGUUUUAAUGGCAUCCCUUGGACAUAAUAACAUCAUUUCUUUAUAGCACCUUGGCCGCCUCGCCACUCUUGGCUGUAAUCGGGUUUAGGUUUAAGCCUCCCUCAUUUGUGGGAGCUAAUGUUGUUUGGUGUUUUAAGAACUACUUAGAGCCAGGGAUAUUGCCCUUUGAAAGGGUGGAACCGGCCCUUCCAGAAUACGGCACUCCUGGGGAGUCUGUCUGGAGGCCACGGGCUUCACGCUCCAAUGUCCCAGCAGCACCCUCUGAUUCCCAAGACCUGCCCCACCCUGGUUCUCUAAGAAACCGCUUCCCAUGAAGGUCCUCAGUGACCAUGAGGGGUGGUCCCUGAAAGUGUCAGGAAGGGCAAGUCAGCUCUUGGAGCCGCGGAUCAUCCUGUGGAUGAGACAGGGCUGUUCAUUGAGGGGUCAUUGCACCCAAAGGCGCGGUGAGUUCGGAGGCACUAAAAGGACAACUUGGUGAUCACAAAGUCAUGUGAGAGAACGAGGAAAAGAGCGGAGGGCUCAUUAGAGAUGGAAAAUACCCUUCGGGACAGACUGUCCCAAGUGCCAGACAAUCCCGUGCCACUCCACAAUUGAAGCCAGAUCUGAGCACUCCCUUGCACGAUUAUUACAUCUUUUCUCUAAUUGACUUAAUUUGUUCACUUUAAAUACUUUCCAUCCAUGGGGGUGGUCUACAAUCCCCCAGGCCCAGAUAUGUUUCAGAAUUCAGAAUUUGGCCAAGGGAACAGGGCACUCACACCCCAAGACAGAGAUCCCAACUAGAGACGUGUGUAGUUUUCUGCACAAACAAUACAUAGCUGGGUGAAGACAGAUUUUUUUAAAAAAAAGCUAUGAAUAAUCUAAUGUCGAUUUGAUUUAGGUGUGGCUAUCAAAUGAUAUGGGAGAAAUAAUCCAAUUUGCAGAGAAUGCUGGACUUGGGAUGUUGCAUAUGGGGUUAUGUGCUGGGAGCCAUUAGCCAAGUAGGUAUGACAAUUUCCUUGCCAGCGUACCCCAUGUUGCAGUGACAUUGAAUGUAGGUGACCUUGUUCAAGGACCAAGGUGGAUUAGGGCGUUCCCGGUUUAGGUUCCAGGUUUAAGGUUUAAGAUUAUUCCUGCUGGGAAUAGGGCGUAUCCUGCUGCCUGAGUUCCCCUUGAGUUCUCACGGGAUUCAGACAGUAUAUUUUGGAGAUAGAAGCCCAGUGGAGGUGAAUUUGGGCAGAGAACGUGAUUUGGGCAGAGAACGUGGAUUUCCCCAGAACGUGAUUGUAGACGGCUGGUGUGAGUUCGG